AAGUCGUAACAAGGUUUCCGUAGGUGAACCUGCGGAAGGAUCAUUAUUGAAACUUCUUUGGAAAUAGUACUGUUGCUGGCCUUGUAAUGAGGUAUGUGCACGUCUAUUACCAAUUUAUUCAUCCACCUGUGCACUUUUUGUAGGAGUUCUUUGAAGUUAUUUUGUACUUGUGCAAUUUUGACUUUGAAAGGCUUCUAUGUCUUAUAAACCCAUUAGUAUGUCUCGAAUGUUUUUUUAUUGGGACUUGAUUGGCCCUUUAGACUUGUACAA
rnacentral:misc_RNA from 1 species